AUUGAACGCUGGCGGCAGGCCUAACACAUGCAAGUCGAGCGAGCGGCGGACGGGUGAGUAAUGUAUGGGGACUGCCCGAUAGAGGGGGAUAACGACUGGAAACGGUAGCUAAGACCGCAUACUAUAGCAUAACACAUAUGGGAUUAGCUAGUAGGUGAGGUAAUGGCUCACCUAGGAGACGAUCCCUAGCUGGUCUGAGAGGAUGAUCAGCCACACUGGAACUUAGACACGGCCAAGACUCCUACGGAGGCAGCAGUGGGGAAUAUUGCACAAUGGGCGCAAGCCUGAUGCAGCCAUGCCGCGUGUAUGAAGAAGGCCCUAGGGUUGUAAAGUACUUUCAGUCGGGAGGCGUUACCGACAGAAGAAGCACCGGCUAACUCCGUGCCAGCAGCCGCGGUAAUAC
rnacentral:rRNA from 1 species